rnacentral:rRNA from 1 species
UACAGAGGGGGCUAGCGUUGUUCGGAAUUACUGGGCGUAAAGGGCGCGUAGGUGGCCUGUUAAGUCGAACGUGAAAUCCCCGGGCUCAACCCGGGAACUGCGUCCGAGACUGGCAGGCUCGAAUCCGGGAGAGGGAUGUGGAAUUCCAGGUGUAGCGGUGAAAUGCGUAGAUAUCAGGAGGAACACCCGUGGCGAAGGCGGCUCUCUGGCCUGUAACUGACGCUGAGGCGCGAAAGCGUGGGGAGCAAACAGG